AUCACUUGGGGAAUGUGUUAAAAUGCAGAUUCUGACUCAGUAGGUCUGAGAUGGGGCCUGAGAGUGUGCAUUUCUAACACACUCCCAGGUGAUAUUUU
rnacentral:pre_miRNA from 1 species